UGCCAGCCGCCGCGGUAAUACGGAGGGUGCAAGCGUUAAUCGGAAUUACUGGGCGUAAAGCGCGCGUAGGCGGUUGUGUAAGUCGGAUGUGAAAGCCCAGGGCUUAACCUUGGAAUUGCAUUCGAAACUGCACGGCUAGAGUAUGGGAGAGGAAAGCGGAAUUUCCGGUGUAGCGGUGAAAUGCGUAGAUAUCGGAAGGAAUAUCAGUGGCGAAGGCGGCUUCCUGGCCUAUAACUGACACUGAGGUGCGAAAGCGUGGGUAGCGAACAGGAUUAGAUA
rnacentral:rRNA from 1 species